AUUAAUUUGGCAGAAUUUUAGUGCAUUAAAUUUAGAAUUUAAUAAAACAAUAUAUAUAUUGUAUUUAAUA
rnacentral:tRNA from 1 species